CGAACGCUGGCGGCGUGCCUAAUACAUGCAAGUCGAGCGGAUUUAUCCUUCGGGAUAAGUUAGCGGCGGACGGGUGAGUAACACGUAGGCAACCUGCCUAUAAGACUGGGAUAACUAUCGGAAACGAUAGCUAAGACCGGAUAACUGAUUUUCUCGCAUGAGAAAAUUAUGAAACACGGAGCAAUCUGUGGCUUAUAGAUGGGCCUGCGGCGCAUUAGCUAGUUGGUAGGGUAACGGCCUACCAAGGCGACGAUGCGUAGCCGACCUGAGAGGGUGAACGGCCACACUGGGACUGAGACACGGCCCAGACUCCUACGGGAGGCAGCAGUAGGGAAUCUUCCGCAAUGGACGCAAGUCUGACGGAGCAACGCCGCGUGAGUGAUGAAGGUUUUCGGAUCGUAAAGCUCUGUUGCCCUAGACGAACAGCAAGAGGAGUAACUGCCUUUUGUGUGACGGUAUAGGAGAAGAAAGCCCCGGCUAACUACGUGCCAGCAGCCGCGGUAAUACGUAGGGGGCAAGCGUUGUCCGGAAUUAUUGGGCGUAAAGCGCGCGCAGGCGGUCAAUUAAGUUGGGUGUUUAAGCCCGGGGCUCAACCCCGGUUCGCAUCCAAAACUGGUCGACUUGAGUGUAGGAGAGGAAAGUGGAAUUCCACGUGUAGCGGUGAAAUGCGUAGAGAUGUGGAGGAACACCAGUGGCGAAGGCGACUUUCUGGCCUAUAACUGACGCUGAGGCGCGAAAGCGUGGGGGAGCAAACAGGAUUAGAUACCCUGGUAAU
rnacentral:rRNA from 1 species